UAGCGUAGGGUGCAAGCGUUUGUCCGGAAUUAUUGGGCGUAAAGAGCUCGUAGGCGGUUUGUCGCGUCUGCUGAUGAAACUCAGGGCUUAACCCUGAGCCUGCAGUGGGUACGGGCAGACUAGAGUGUGGUAGGGGAGAUCGGAAUUCCUGGUGUAGCGGUGGAAUGCGCAGAUAUCAGGAGGAACACCCAUGGCGAAGGCAGCAAACUGGGCCACAUCUGACGCUGAGGCGCGAAAGCGUGGGUAGCAAACAGG
rnacentral:rRNA from 1 species